AUUUAAACAGCAUACGGUAAGAAGUUAGAUUCCCCAAGGGACACUGGAGAAAGCCUGAAUUCUUAAUCUUCGAAGAAAAAAAACAUCAAAAGGAAAAUGGUGUUCAAGCUGUCACUCAUCAGCCUGUUCCUCCUGUUUGUCACUAACACUUUGGGGAGCACUACAACAUUAAUGACCUCAAGCUCUAUGACAGUCUCGAGUCCCACGAUGAGUCUGAAUUCUCUGACAAUCCCAAAUUCCAAGACAACCUCGAAUUCCAAGACAACCUCGAAUUCCAAGACAACCUCGAAUUCCAAGACAACCUCGAAUUCCAAGACAACCUCGAAUUCCAAGACAACCUCGAAUUCCAAGACAACCUCGAAUUCCAACAUAACCUUGAAUUCCAACACAACCUCGAAUUCCAACACAAUCUCGACUCUCAAGACAACUUCAAAUCUCCAAAGAACCUCAAAUACAAAGAUGACUUCAAAUGCCAAGACACCUCUGAAAACAGCAGUGACCCCAAAGAUAGCCACAACCAUGAACAUGAUGACUAUGGGAAGUGGUGGCACGAAACUGAAUCCAAUGGACAGCACUCACUUUCUUUUCUAUAUAAUAUGUUCACUGUUUUGUGUGCACUCAGGCUGAAGUGGACUUGAACUUCUGCAUUCCUAUCUCAGUUCAUUACUAUCUGCCGAAUUACAACAAGCACACUAGGAAAAUCAAAUUUAUUUCAACUUACUUGUUAGGAAGUUAUCAUUAUCCUGGCUUAAUUAGGUUGUAGAUUUUAAUUGUGUAAGUUUAUUACCUUAAUAUAAUGGUUUUCUUCCUUAAAAAUGCUAAAACAAGCAAAAUGCCACAUGUUUGCCUUUUAAACGUCUGCAGAAUUGAAUUGAAACUCAGAUUUUUACAUUAAAAGUGUAAGAGAAGAAA